rnacentral:piRNA from 1 species
UGUUAAGAUUUUAGUUCCCUG